CAGGGUUGUUUAACUCACUGCCCAACUCUCGUGGUUGUGGCUUGUCGGAUGACAUUGAGAUACUUGCGAUCAGGCAACUGAUUGUAGGUGACUCGAUCUCGUUCUAGUACCCGAAGCAUCACAAGUCGAGACCCGACGGUUCCUAACUGUCGACUCGUAAUGUGACGCGCUACUCUUUAUCAGAGAGAGCUGCCAAAUGGCGUCCAACUUGACUUCUAUGGUGUCCGAGUGAACAUCAAGACGUGUAUCAUAACGUGUCUCGAUAAGAUCUAGGGCAUUCGUCUAACCGGCUCGUCGCUCUGUGCUGAAUAAUGAGGUUCGUUUGUCGAAGGAUCUUCGGAUUCUAAAACAAAACGUUGCGUGUCUUGCUAUUAUCAACCUGAACUCAGUCGUGAUUACCCGCUGAACUUAAGCAUAUCAUUUAGCGGAGGAAAAGAAACUAAAAAGGAUUCCCUUAGUAACGGCGAGUGAAACGGGAUGAGCCCAGCGCCGAAUCGAUCAGCCUAUGGUUGCUUCGAAAUGUGGCGUAUAGGUGUAGUCUUCCAGCAGUGUCGUGAGUCCGAAGUCCUUACGAUUGAGGCCAUAGACCAGAGAGGGUGCGAGUCCCGUCCUGGAUUGCGAUGCUGUUGGUUCGAUUGCUCCUUGGAGUCGGGUUGCUUGAAAGUGCAGCCUAAAGUGGGUGAUAAACUUCAUCUAAGGCUAAAUAUUGACUCGAUUGCGAUAGCGAACAAGUACCGUGAGGGAAAGUUGCAAAGGACUUUGAAGAGAGAGUUCAAGAGAACGUGAAAUCGCUGGAGUGGAACCGGAGACAGUUGAUGUUGCUUGGAGACAAGUUUGGUGGCUGGUCGCUUAGUUGUGAUCGUCGCCGGAUGUCGUUUCCUAUGCUACGCCGACGGCGUUGGUCGCUCGUUCUGGCCCGACAGUGUUGCCCAGCUCGCAAGAGUCGGUGUCUUGUUGUCGGUCGUUGGUUCGUGGUGGCUAGCGUUUAGUUACGCUAGUGUGUGUGACGUCGGUGUGAAAGUCGACGACGUUUCCGACCCGUCUUGAAACACGGAUUGCGGAGUGCUUGUCUACUGCGAGUCAAAGGGUGUUAAAACCUUGCGGCGAAAUGAAAGUGAAGGUCAGUCUUGAAUUGGCCGACGUGGGAUCGGUGCUCCUCGGAGUGCUGCGCACCACGGCCCUGUGCGUGUCACUUGUGACUGUGCAGAGGUUGAGCAGUUGGCAAACGACCCGAAAGAUGGUGAACUAUGCCUGAGCAGGAUGAAGCCAGAGGAAACUCUGGUGGAAGUCCGUAUCGGUUCUGACGUGCAAAUCGAUCGAUAGACUUGGGUAUAGGGGCGAAAGACUAAUCGAACCAUCUAGUAGCUGGUUCCUUCCGAAGUUUCCCUCAGGAUAGCUGGAUCUCCGGCAGUUAUAUUCGGUAAAGCUAAUGAUUAGAGGCCUUGGGGACGUAAUGUCCUCAACCUAUUCUCAAACUUUCAAUGGAUAUGAAGUUGCAGUUUCUUUAGUGAACUGUCAACGUGAAUGCGAGGUCCAAGUGGGCCAUUUUUGGUAAGCAGAACUGGCGCUGUGGGAUGAACCAAACGUGGAGUUAAGGUGCCUAACUUCUCGCUCAUGAGACCCCAUAAAAGGUGUUGGUUGAUAUUGACAGCAGGACGGUGGCCAUGGAAGUCGGUAUCCGCUAAGGAGUGUGUAACAACUCACCUGCCGAAUCAACUAGCCCUGAAAAUGGAUGGCGCUUAAGCGAGAGACCUAUACUCCGCCGUUGCGGCAUGUGCGUUGUCUAGCGCCAGGCCGUAACGAGUAGGAAGGUCGUGGCGGUUGCUUUGAAGGCUAUGAGCGUGGGCUCGGCUGGAGCUUCCGUCAGUGCAGAUCGUAAUGGUAGUAGCAAAUAUUCAAGUUCGAUCCUUGAAGACUGAAGUGGAGAAGGGUUCCACGUGAACAGUAGUUGGAUGUGGGUCAGUCGAUCCUAAGGUACUGGCGAACGCCUUGUAUCAUCGGUGGCGAAAAGCUUGCUUUUGGUCCCCGUUUGUCGAAAGGGAAUAGGGUUAAUAUUCCCUAACUGAGAUGCAAAGAUUGUGUUCUUCGGAGCACAAGCGCGGUAACGCAUUCGAACUUGGUUAGUCGCUCAAAGACCGAGCUAGAGUUUUCUUCUCUAGUUAAGGAACGGACUCCCUGGAAUUGGUUCAGCCAGAGAUGGGGACGUUGUUUCCGAAAAGCACCGCGGUUUCUGUGGUGUCUCGUGCUCUUUGAACGGCCCUUAAAACACCAAGGGAGGCUAUUAAUUUGCACUCAAUCGUACCGAUAUCCGCAUUAGGUCUCCAAGGUGAACAGCCUCUAGUCGAUAGAAUAAUGUAGGUAAGGGAAGUCGGCAAACUAGAUCCGUAACUUCGGGAAAAGGAUUGGCUCCAGUGGUUGGAACGAUUGGCCAGUUGGUUGAUGCUUGUCCGGCGCUAUUCUGUCUGCUUGAUGCUUUCGGGCUGAUGGCGGACUAGUGAUAGUGCUUGCUUGUGGACGCUUUCUGGUGUGUGCUAGGACCUCGGUUCUAGUAUCCUGAUCGCUCAUCUAAACAACCGUACUGGAACCGGUACGGACUCAGGGAAUCCGACUGUCUAAUUAAAACAGAGGUGACAGAUGGUCCUUGCGGACGCUGACUGUCACUGAUUUCUGCCCAGUGCUCUGAAUGUUAAAUCGUAGUAAUUCGAGUAAGCGCGGGUAAACGGCGGGAGUAACUAUGACUCUCUUAAGGUAGCCAAAUGCCUCGUCAUUUAAUUGUUGACGCGCAUGAAUGGAUUAACGAGAUUCCUACUGUCCCUAACUACUAUCUAGCGAAACCACAGCCAAGGGAACGGGCUUGGCAAAAAUAGCGGGGAAAGAAGACCCUGUUGAGCUUGACUCUAGUUUGACAUUGUGAAGAGUCAUGAGAGGUGUAGCAUAGGUGGGAGACUUCGGUCGCCGGUGAAAUACCACCACUUUCAUCGACUCUUUACUUAUUCGGUUAAAAGAGAAUUG
rnacentral:rRNA from 1 species